GUCUAUGGCCAUGCCACCCUGAACAAGGCAGAUGUCUGAUCUCGGAAGCUAAGCAGGGUUGGGCCUGGUUAGUACUUGGAUGGGAGACCACCUAGGAAGAUCAGGUGCUGUAGGCA
rnacentral:rRNA from 1 species